UCCGGUUUGUCACCGGCAGUCCCACUAGAGUGCCCAACUAAAUGUAGCAACUAAUGGUAAGGGUUGCGCUCGUUGCGGGACUUAACCCAACAUCUCACGACACGAGCUGACGACAGCCAUGCAGCACCUGUGUUACGGCUCCCUUUCGGGCACACCCAGCUCUCGCUGGGCUUCCGUACAUGUCAAGGGUAGGUAAGGUUAUUCGCGUUGCAUCGAAUUAAUCCACAUCAUCCACCGCUUGUGCGGGUCCCCGUCAAUUCCUUUGAGUUUUAACCUUGCGGCCGUACUCCCCAGGCGGAGAACUUAAGGCGUUAGCUGCGCCACCAAAACCCUAAGGGCCCUGACAGCUAGUUCUCAUCGUUUACGGCGUGGACUAC
rnacentral:misc_RNA from 1 species